rnacentral:rRNA from 1 species
UACCAGCUCUCCGGGUGGUAGGGAUGAUUAUUGGGCUUAAAGCGUCCGUAGCCGGCUUGGCAAGUUUCCUGUUAAACUCUGCGACUUAAUCGUUGAAUCGCGGGAAAUACUACUAGGCUAGGAGGCGGGAGAGGUCAACGGUACUUCUGGGGUAGGGGUGAAAUCCUAUAAUCCCGGGAGGACCACCAGUGGCGAAGGCUGUUGACUAGAACGCGCACGACGGUGAGGGACGAAAGCUGGGGGAGCGAACCGGAUUAGAUACCCGGGUAGUCCCAGCUGUAAACGAUGCGGGCUAGGUGUUGGGAUGGCUACGUGCCAUUUCAGUGCCGCAGGGAAGCCAUUAAGCCCGCCGCCUGGGGAGUACGGCCGCAAGGCUGAAACUUAAGGAAUUGGCGGGGGAGCACCACAAGGCGUGAAGCUUGCGGUUC